UGAUUUGUGUAGCUCAUCUCGGGCUUAGGAAUAUACUAGAUCCCUUAUGAUCCACAAUUUGAACUGAAUGCACUCUAGGAUGAUUUGUGUAUUCUAAGCUCAUCUUGGACUUAGGAGUAUACUAGAUCCUAUUAGAUGCACAAUUUAAACUGAAUGCACUCUUAGGUGAUUUAUGUAUCCUAAGCUCAUCUUGGGCUUAGGAAUAUACUAGAUCCCAUAUGAUGCACAAUUUAAACUGAAUGCACUCUUAGGUGAUUUGUGUAUCCUAAGCUCAUCUCGGGCUUAGGAAUGUACUAGAUCCUACAUUGAGUCCUACACUGAAAAAAUCGUUUUAAAAAAUUCAAAGUCGAUUUUCAAAAAAAAAAACACCAUCUUCGAUUUCGAUAAAAUUUUGUGUCAAGAUAGGUAAUUAUGUUCCCUAUCAACCAGAUGGGCACUUUUAAGGAAAAAAAGUUUUUCUAACAAAAACUUCUUCAUGUCCAAACGAUUUUUUUUUUCAGUGUCUUUUGUUAUCAAAAACUAAACCAGUGAAGGUCGUAAUCAUUUCAGAAUCCAAUGAAACAUAAUUUGUUAAGAGAUUUUGUCUCAUUUAUUCAAGGAGAUUUUGUCUUAUUCAUUCGAUCAAUUAAAUUUUUAUAUUCAAAUAAAUACUUUAUUACAAAUGGUUUCUCUUUGGAAAUGGUGAUUUUCGUCCUAAAUCGUAUUUGGAGUUAGCAGCUCCCUCUCAGAUUACAAUAAAACUUUCUGAAUAUGUAAACCUUGACUAGAUAAGCCACUUUACAUACUUAGUUUCAUCAAAAUUCAUCUAGACUGUCUUUUGAAAAGGGCUAACUUUUUUUUCGAUUUUUUUGCAAAUGCGUUUAGUAAAAAACAUGACUACUAUUACAAAAAACUGACUGAAAAAAAAAUCAUUUUUAAAAUUCAAAGUCGAUUCAAAAAUAAACACCAUUUUUUUAGGCACACUUUUUUUCUUAAAAGUGCCCGUCUUGUGGUGUAUGGACGGUUGGUGGUGAACAUAAUUACCGUAAACCGGGGUCAAAUUAUCUCCGGGCCGAAAUUGAUGAUUUUCAGUAAGAUUGAGCAUACUUUUCAUAGUUUCUUCAAAUGAAUCGUGCUGUAGGAAUCGAGUACAAAACGAUAUUUGCAGGGAAACUAUUUAAAGUAUGCUAUAUCUAACCGAAAAACGUCUGAUCAAUUUCGACCCGAAGAUCAAUUUGACCCCGGUUUACGGUACCUAUCUUGAGACGAAAUUUCAUCGAUAUCAAAAAUGUGUUUUUUUAAUCGAAAUUGUAUUAUUUUAAAAUUAUUUGUUUCAGUGUAGGGCACAAUCAGGAUGUUUUCAAUACUAUUUCUUAGAAAUAUUUUGUGAUAGUCACCCAAACAAAAUUUAUUUUUAGGAGUUGUUAUUUUUUCAUUGAAUGCAUUUGAAACAAGUCGAUAAAAAGGUGCGACAAGGAUACAUUUUUAAUAAAGUAAGUAUUUAUGUAAAUAAAAUAAAAGAAAACCUUUCCAAAUGAUUGAAUAAAUGAGACAAAAUCUAUAACAAAAUGUGGUUCAUUGGAUUUUGGGGGGAUACUUACCAUCACUGAUUAAGUUUUUAAUAACAAAAGACACCAAAAAAUCCUUUUGACACAAAAAAGUUUUUGUUAGAAAAACUGCUUUUACUUAAAAGUACCCAUAAUUACUUAUCUUGGGGCAAUUUUUCAUCGAAAACGAAAAUGUUUUUUUUGUAAACCGACUUUGAUUUUUUUUUUCAAAUGAUUUUUUCAUUGUAGGGCUCAAUUUGGUUUUCUUUCAUUUUUUUUUUAUUUUGAAUUAUUUUGUGAAAAUCACCCAUGGUCCACUGCACGAAUUUAUGCUGGCCUGUUUACUCUCACCGCAAAUUUGACGUUUGAGCGGUGCCGACACACAUUUGGACAUGAACAUUUGUCAGAAAAACUUUUUUUUUCUUAAAAAUGCCCAUCUUGUAGUGUACCUAUGGACGGUUGGUAGGGAGCAUAUUUACCUAUCUGGAGACAAAAUUUCAUCGAUAUCAAAGAUGGUGUGUUUUUUUUUUGUAAAUAGACUUUGAAUUUUUAAAAACGAUUUUUAAGGGCUCAAUUUGGAAUUUUUUCAAUAUUUUUUCUUGAAACUUAACGUAUUUAGUGACAAUCACUCAUACAACACUUUCUUGUAGGAGUAGUCAUUUUUUUAUUAAACACAUUUGAAAAAAUAUAGGUAAAAAAAGUUUAGCCCUUUUCAAAAGAUAGUCUAGAUAAUUUUUGAAGAAACUAAGUAUGCAAAGUGGCUUAUCCAGUCAAGGUCUACACACCCAGAAAGUUUCAUUAUAAUCUGAGUUGGCGCGAAAUCCGUCUAUACUAGAUCCCAUAUGAUGCACAAUUUGAACUGAAUGCAUCCUCGGGUGAUUUGUGUAUCCUAUGCUGAUUUCAGGCUUGGGAGUACACAAGAACCCAUAUAAUGCAUACUGGUAAUUAAUUGCACCCCAAGCUUAUUUCGGGCUCGGGAAAAUCAUCUUAAUUACAAUAUCGUUCAACGGCCUUUAAAUAUCAUUACCGUUUACUAUUUCAGAGCUCAACUUCAGAAUCUGCCACGACAUUCUGGAACUAGUAGAAUCCCCACAAACACGUAGCCCUGUUCAAAGGUCUGCACAAGGUAGAACGCAUCACCAAAGGCGCGGUAAUGAUCGGUAGGAUCGAAGGACAGUUUCUACAGGACCGUACGUAUUACGACGGAUUCGACGGUUCCGCCGAAAACUAACAAUCCACUGGAAGUUGGAAUAGUACCGCAGGGAAACCGAAGCAUCAAACACGAGAAGAACGGGAAAUGUUUAUUUGAAGCACAUCUCGGUCAGCAUUUAAUUAUUUUUUUGGAAGCAAAAACACAGCGCCAUCAUCAAGCUUGCAGGAAAAGAUAGAACUAAAAUAGUGGUACAAGUAUGCCUUGCUUUUGGUUGUUGCGGUUGUUAUUAACUUGCAAGUCGCUUGGUAGGAAUAGAGCCGCUCAGAGCUCUAAUGAGGUCUUUUACGUACAGGUAUUCUUGGUUUCGCUGAGCCUGGAAGAAGGCCAAGGAGCAUUCAGCCCCGCCGUGAUGUUCUUGUUUACGACGUCCGUAUCGUUACGUUCGUCAAAUCGUAAUUCGAUCGGAAUCCCGAUUCGUGACGAGGAAUGAGACUGUGUUAAGGAAUCGGUGCAUAUCCAUAUUGCCAACCUGUGCCAACUAUGUCCAUGGAAUUUCGGAUGACGAUUUGUCCUGACGACCUGUCCUGCUAGGGAUUUCCAGUUAGCCUAGUGGUUAAAACUAUAGGCGCCAAUUCGGAGACGGCGGGUUCGAUUCCCGUUCCAGUCGGGAAAAUUUUCUCGACUCCCUGGGCAUAGUGUAUCAUUGUACUUGUCUCACAAUGUACAAAUUCAUGCAAUGGCAGGCAAAGGAAGCCCUUCAAUUAAUAACUGUGGAACUGCUCAAAGAACACUAAGUUGAAGCGAGGAGCGAGGCAGGCCAAGUCCCAGUGGGGACGUCGAGCCAUAAAGAAGAAGAAGAAGAAGAUUUGUCCUGGUUGAACUAUACACUAAUUUGCACCAUCUGAAGGAAAAAUUAGGAUCCGUUCCGAGACCUUCGAGGACACCGGGCUCAGCUUGUAUUCUGAUCUUUCGGAUGCUCAUUACUUUGGACGAAUGAUUCCACUAUACUAAUGGUGUGGAACUCCAAAUAAAGUUAUGAUUAUGAACAUAAAGUUAGUAUUUUUUGGAUAUAUUUACAUUCAAUAAAUUUCUGUUAACCGGUGAGCGCCAUCGUCUCAUCACUGGUUAGGCGGUGAAAUUGAUCGCUCAUGAGUGAACUGAUCUUACUCGCUUCAGUAAAUGUCAUUAAGCUCUGGGUGGGUGGGCAAGAACUACACCAUUCGAAUACCGUCAGAUUCGGGCCGUUGUCUCUCAAAUAUCACAUAGCAAUGACCUAUGUCAUUGGCACUUCAGAAAUCACUUCAAAUGCAAAACCCCACAUGAACCGUAACUCGACUCUUUCAGCAUAGCACUCCGUUCUCAUGCAAUAAUACUUGCGUACACAUAAAUUACUUAGACUGCUGCCAAGUGCAUCACGCAACAAGCGUUGGUGCCUUAUUCGCUUAUACUUUCUCUCUCUCUCUCUCUCUCUCUCUCUCUCUCUCUCUCUCUCUCUCUCUCUCUCUCUCUCUCUCUCUCUCUCUCUCUC